rnacentral:piRNA from 2 species
UUGUUCACAUGACACUGGAAACCUGUGCCC